UUUAAAGUUUUAUAGGGUUCCGCAGUUCCAAGGAGAAGAACUGGCCUGGACCAAGAUAAAACGCAUAGCUGGAUCUAUGUACACGGAAGGAUAAAAGCCUGGGAGAU
rnacentral:sRNA from 2 species